rnacentral:rRNA from 1 species
AUGCGGCAACUCCAUCAGGCGUAUAAUCUCCCUUGGCUACUAAUAGGCGAUCUGAACGAAAUACAAUUCUUGCAUGAUAAAGAAGGAGGGUAUCCUAGACCUCCCCAAUAUAUGCGUGCAUUCCAGGAUGCCAUUGAUGGCUGUGAAUUACAUGACAUGGGCUUCAUUGGUGACCGGUUCACUUGGUACAGAGGAAGAAUAAAAGAAAGACUAGACCAUGGGCUAGUGAAUGAUGCUUGGAUUAAUAUGUUCCCCCAAGCUGCACUGGAAAACUUGGAGUUCAAUCAUUCAGAUCAUCGCCCUCUGCUAGUGGAUUCAGAAUACCGCAGUGGG